GAUGAACGCUGGCGGCGUGCCUAAUACAUGCAAGUCGAGCGAACAGACGAGGAGCUUGCUCCUUCGACGUUAGCGGCGGACGGGUGAGUAACACGUAGGUAACCUACCUAUAAGACUGGGAUAACUUCGGGAAACCGGAGCUAAUACCGGAUAAUAUUUCGAACCGCAUGGUUCGAUAGUGAAAGAUGGCUUUGCUAUCACUUAUAGAUGGACCUGCGCCGUAUUAGCUAGUUGGUAAGGUAACGGCUUACCAAGGCAACGAUACGUAGCCGACCUGAGAGGGUGAUCGGCCACACUGGAACUGAGACACGGUCCAGACGCCUACGGGAGGCAGCAGUAGGGAAUCUUCCGCAAAGGGCGAAAGCCUGACGGAGCAACGCCGCGUGAGUGAUGAAGGUCUUCGGAUCGUAAAACUCUGUUAUUAGGGAAGAACAAACGUGUAAGUAACUGUACACGUCUUGACGGUACCUAAUCAGAAAGCCACGGCUAACUACGUG
rnacentral:rRNA from 1 species